rnacentral:lncRNA from 1 species
UAAAGGGGCUAUAUAAAAACAUUCUUAAUUUUUUGUUGUCAUCUUUUUUUGAAAAUAUUGAGGAGCAACAACUAAAAACAUCAUUAAUAAGAGGGAAAGUUAAUUUGCAACAUGUGAAUAUAAAAAAAAACUUUUUCGACACGAUAUUUUUACCAUUUACUAUUAAGUAUGGGUACAUCCGUUCUUUGGAUCUUCAGGUAAAGUAUAAAACGCUCUAAAAAUUGAGAAAAAAAAAAAAAAGAAAGGAAGGAAAGAAAACAUAUGUUAAUAAUAAACACGUGAUAAGUCUGCUCUUACUCUGUCUGUGUUUACACUAGUGCUUAUACAUUUAUGUCUAUGUUAUUUUGAAUGCACUAAUGACUUACUUUUUUUUUUUUUUGUUUAUGUGACUAGUGCUAAUUAUUAGAUUUUUUUUUUUUUUUUUUUUUUUUUUUUUUUUUAAACUUAAUCGAAUAAACAGAUACCACUAUUGUACCUUUUACAAAAAGCUAACCUAAUCAUAAAAGACGUAGUGGUAAUUGUCGAACCGAAAAGAUUUUUUGACGUUGACAUAACAGAAAAAAUAAAUGAAACAAAAGAAUUUAAAAAAAAUAACUUAAGAAUCGAAAAUUUAAUUUUAAAUGAUUACGAUUUGAAUGAAAAGAUUAAUAAAGGGUUAAGUUAUUUAUCUUAUGAGUUUUAUAAUAAUUUAACUAUCAUUAUUGAAAAUGUAGAAAUUAUUUUAGAAUGCUCUAAGUACACUAAUAAUAUAUUUGGUUUGUCUAUAAGUAGUAUAAGCACAGUUAGAGAAAAAUGUAUUAGUAGCAGUAGUAGUAGUAGUAGUAGUAGAAGUAGUAGAAGUAGAAGUAGAAGUAGAAGUAGAAAUAGAAGUAGAAGUAGAAGUAGAAGUAGAAGUAGAAGUAGAAGUAGAAAUAGAAGUAGAAGUAGAAGUAGAAGUAGAAGUAGUAAUGUAGGUAGUAGUAGUACACCUAAUAGUAGUGAUAGUAGUAACAUAAAUAGGAACAAUAAAAGCAAGAAAAUAAAAAAAAAAUUCAUAUUUAAUAAUAUAACAUUAUAUAGCGAUGAUAAAAAAUGCAAAUAUUUAAUUAAUAAAAUAAUAAAAAAAAAUAGAAAAGGUAAAAAUAAGAAUAAUGAAAAUGAACUGAAGAAUAUAAAUAAUGAGAAAAAAACGUAUAAUAAAAUAAAAAAUAUUUGCGUUGAAUUUCAAAAAAAAAAAAAAUAUAUUAUUUCUAAAUUACCAUGUCUCACAUUAACAACCAUUUUUAAUAUAAAUAAUCAAAACGAAAAAUAUCGUAAUAAAAAUAUAAAUUAUACUUUUGAAAAAAAAAAUAUACCUUUUGACAUAAUCUGUUCACAUUGUCAUAGAUAUUUGUAUAACUGUAAAGAAGUAAAAAAAGAUUACACAACUUUUGAAAAUGUAUUUAAAAAAAAAGAAGAUAUUAAAAAAAGAAAUCAACAUCUGUGUAAUUUGUUAAUGGGUAAUAAUAGUAAUAAUAGCAGUAGUAGUAGUAGUAGUAGUAGUAAUAGUAGUAAUAAU